UGGCCCUUUUGUCCACCUUCUUUCUUUGUUUUUUUGUUUUCUUUCUCUUUCUUUUCUGGAAUGUUGUCUUCGUUUUAUAUUCUAGAGAGAACCAUGCGCGAGGUGAUAGAAAUAAGAGGAUGAAGUUGCAGGAUUCAAGGUGCAGUUUGGAGCUAAUGGUGUUCCAUGGCAGCAUCAUUUCUUGGCAGAGAAUGCAAUAACGGGACGAUCCUCUAGAGUCCAAGGUUAUUGGAAAUUGCGUGGAGAUCAAUGGACAUGAAAAUUUAGAUGAAACUUUGAAAGCUGAGUGAUGAUUGAGUUAAAUAGUGUUUUCAACAACAUUCCUGGUUGCAAAACUAUUUACCAGCACAAACAUGGAAUCCAUGCGGCACUUGUUCGUUUAAUCCACUACUAUACCACCGUCGAGCAUCUCUGGCUAUAACUGUAUAGAUGAAUCUUUCACCGACAAGAGUCUCUGUGAAAAUCCGAAUCUUUUAUCAGUUUAACACUCAAGGGUUUACAAGGCGCACGCAACCUCUCUCGCUCUCGCUCUCGCUCUGCCUCUGUAUGGAUGGAAAUCAUUCUGCGGAAAGGGUUAAUUCUUAAGUCGAGCCAUGCUUUGUUGGCUUGAUCAAUGCUUGCGUAUUUGGGUUAUGCCCAUCGGAUUCAUCUUUAUUUUAAGGACAUCCGACAGCAGAUCUCCUUUCUAUAUAAGUUAGGGUUUUGGCUAACUGGGAUUUCAGAGAUUUAGCUUUUCUGGGAAAUUUAAAGCCAUGAGGAAAUGGUCGAGAUCUGUACUGUAGGGUAUUAAUAAUAUCUAUAUAUACAAUGAACAUUCCCAACUUUAAAUCUGGGCUUAAUUAUGAUUUCCUC